AGCGGAGCGUGUGGUUUAAUUCGAUGAUAAGCGAAGAACCUUACCUGGGCUUGACAUGCAUUUGCCAGCCCGUGAAAGCGGGUCUUCUUUCGAGACAAGUGCACAGAUGUUGCAUGGCUGUCGUCAGCUCGUGCCGUGAGGUGUUGGGUUAAGUCCCGCAACGAGCGCAACCCUCGUCGUUAGUUACUAUGUCUAGCGAGACUGCUCCUAAAAGGGGAGAGGAAGGUGGGGACGAGGUCAAGUCGGCACGGCUCUUACGCCCAGGGCUACACACACGCUACAAUGG
rnacentral:rRNA from 1 species